rnacentral:rRNA from 1 species
UCUAUCCUAUACUGGGGGAUAGCCCGAUGAAAGUUGGAUUAAUACCGCAUAUAGCUAUAUAGUUGCAUGAUUAUGUAGUGAAAGAUUUAUUGGUAUAGGAGGAGUCUGCGGCACAUUAGCUAGUAGGUGAGGUAAAGGCUUACCUAGGCGACGAUGUGUAGCCGGUCUGAGAGGAUGAACGGCCACAAUGGAACUGAGACACGGUCCAUACUCCUACGGGAGGCAGCAGUGGGGAAUAUUGCACAAUGGGGGAAACCCUGAUGCAGCAACGCCGCGUGAGUGAAGAAGGUUUUCGGAUUGUAAAGCUCUGUUAGCAGGGAAGAGGAAGGACGGUACCUGCAGAGGAAGCCACGGCUAACUACGUGCCAGCAGCCGCGGUAAUACGUAGGUGGCAAGCGUUGUUCGGAAUAACUGGGCGUAAAGGAUGCGUAGGCGGUUAAACAAGUUAUAUGUUAAAUAUAUAGGCUUAACCUGUAGAAAGCAUAUAAAACUGUUUAACUAGAGUGCAUGAGAGGUAAGUGGAAUUCCUAGUGUAGCGGUGAAAUGCGU